AAAAUCGACAAGUAUGUUAACCCGAGAAGAACAAACUAGUCAAGAUGCUCAGCCAAAAGAAGCAGUCAAGUUUCAUUUAAGGCAUAGAUCAGCUGGUAAAACUAGAGAAGCUAAACACUCUGUUUUUGAGUCUACAUCAAGGGAUUUAGGUAGAAUUCAGACAUUGCAUACAAGGAUUGUUGACAAAAAGAAUCAAAACUCUGUUUCAAGAUUGGGUGAAAAAACUGUUAUUUCUUCACAAUUUGA
rnacentral:misc_RNA from 1 species